rnacentral:rRNA from 1 species
GACGAACGCUGGCGGCGUGCUUAACACAUGCAAGUCGAACGGUAAGGCCCUUCGGGGUACACGAGUGGCGAACGGGUGAGUAACACGUGGGUGAUCUGCCCUGCACUUCGGGAUAAGCCUGGGAAACUGGGUCUAAUACCGGAUAGGACCACUGCCUGCAUGGGUGGUGGUGGAAAGCUUUUGCGGUGUGGGAUGGGCCCGCGGCCGAUCAGCUGGUUGGUGGGGUGACGGCCUAACAAGGCGACGACGGGUAGCCGGCCUGAGAGGGUGACCGGCCACACUGGGACUGAGAUACGGCCCAGACUCCUACGGGAGGCAGCAGUGGGGAAUAUUGCACAAUGGGCGCAAGCCUGAUGCAGCGACGCCGCGUGGGGGAUGACGGCCUUCGGGUUGUAAACCUCUUUCAGCACCGACGAAGCGCAAGUGACGGUAGGUGCAGAAGAAGGACCGGCCAACUACGUGCCAGCAGCCGCAGUAACAC